UCGACGGUGACCUCGGUGCUUGCACCGGGUGAUCAGUGGCGAACGGGUGAGUAACACGUGAGCAACCUGCCCCCGACCCUGGGAUAACCCCGAGAAAUCGGAGCUAAUACCGGAUACGAGACGCACAGGCAUCUGUAGCGUCUGGAAAGAUUCAUCGGUCAGGGAUGGGCUCGCGGCCUAUCAGCUAGUUGGUGAGGUAGUGGCUCACCAAGGCGACGACGGGUAGCCGGCCUGAGAGGGCGACCGGCCACACUGGGACUGAGACACGGCCCAGACUCCUACGGGAGGCAGCAGUGGGGAAUAUUGCACAAUGGGCGCAAGCCUGAUGCAGCGACGCCGCGUGGGGGAUGAAGGCCUUCGGGUUGUAAACCCCUUUCAGCAGGGAAGAAGCGAAAGUGACGGUACCUGCAGAAGAAGCGCCGGCUAACUACGUGCCAGCAGCCGCGGUAAUACGUAGGGCGCAAGCGUUGUCCGGAUUUAUUGGGCGUAAAGAGCUCGUAGGCGGUUUGUCGCGUCUGCUGUGAAAACCCGAGGCUCAACCUCGGGCCUGCAGUGGGUACGGGCAGACUAGAGUGCGGUAGGGGAGACUGGAAUUCCUGGUGUAGCGGUGGAAUGCGCAGAUAUCAGGAGGAACACCGAUGGCGAAGGCAGGUCUCUGGGCCGCAACUGACGCUGAGGAGCGAAAGCAUGGGGAGCGAACAGGAUUAGAUACCCUGGUAGUCCAUGCCGUAAACGUUGGGCACUAGGUGUGGGGCUCAUUCCACGAGUUCCGUGCCGCAGCAAACGCAUUAAGUGCCCCGCCUGGGGAGUACGGCCGCAAGGCUAAAACUCA
rnacentral:rRNA from 1 species